rnacentral:rRNA from 1 species
CCGUGCAAAGGUAGCAUAAUCAMUUGUCUCUUAAAUAGGGACCUGUAUGAACGGCAUCACGAAGAUUUUACUGUCUCCCCUCACCGAUCUGUGAAACUAAUCCCCCUGUGAAAAAGCAGGAAUACAAAUACAAGACGAGAAGACCCUGUGGAGCUUAAAACUAGUAACACUUGCUUAUCCUCCUAAAAUAUUCCCACUCAACAUUAUGCUUACACCCUUUUCGGUUGGGGCAACCUUGGAGUAAAACAAAACCUCCACGCUGUCUAUAUUUCAGAACCUCAAUUCCACAAAUCAUUAAACUGACACAUUGACCCAUACACUUGAUCAACGAACUAAGUUACCCCAGGGAUAACAGCGCCAUCCACUUCAAGAGCACAUAUCGACAAGUGGGCUUACGACCUCGAUG